UUACGCCCAUAUCACGUUGAAACAUCGGUUCUCGUCUGAACCCCCAAGUUAAGCAACGAUGAGCCUCGUCAGUACCUUGAUGGGUGACCGCUUGAAAAAUUCCAGAUGCUGUAAG